CAUUGAACAAUGGAUUGACUGGAUCAACUGAUGAAACAUGGACAUCAUUCAUCUGCUCCUGCUCCUACUGUCAUGCAUAAUUCAAGCAGUCCGAGGUCAGGUGACGCUGACACCUGAAACACUAACGGUCCUAAAAGGAAAAGAGGCCCGGUUUACCUGCAGGCCCUCCCUCCCCGAGUGGACCGUUAUGGUGUGGCUGAUGAACGGCAAAUCGGUUCUCACCAUCUCCAAUAAGACGGGUGCCCUGAACACUGUCCACCCAAAUGUGACGGCCGAGCAAAGCGGAGACGGCUGGGUGUUGGUCAUCAACAGGACGGAGAGGCACAACGAGGGCUCAGUGGUCUGUGAUCUCCAGGGUAUUACUACGAAAACAGCAAGCCUGUUUGUACAAGAGACGGGCAGCGUGAAAGUCGUUUGGGACAACAGGUUGGCUUUAAAGGAUUCCUGGGUGCAGUUUGAAUGCCUAACAGCAGGAUGGUACCCUGCGCCCACUGUGCAAUGGCAGGUGAAAGAAAAAGAGGGGAAAGAGACAAAACACAUCAGCAGCAGUGAAACGACCAAACUCAACAUCAUGGCAACGAAGAGCUCAGAUGUGUCUUGUCUGGCGUCCGUGUCUGCCCUGCUCACGCCACUGAAGAGCUGCGCCCGUCUGACAGUGGUUGUAGAGGUGGGGCGGGAGAAGGAGGAAGAUGUCUGCAGCGUGGUGCCCCUGGCAAUAAUGUCCUCCCUCUCUGCUCUUCUGCUGCUCCUCCUGCUCUGUAUCUGCACCGUCCUCUGGCUCAGACGAAGGAGACAAGCACGAGCCGGCACACAGGAGGUAGUAAGGUCCGACCAAUCGGUGAGCGGGAGGAGUUCGGUUGCCGAGGCGACAGCCGGGAAGGUCAACCUGGGAUAUUCUAGUGACGGCCCCACAGAUGCAGUUCACAAUGAGCUAAUCAUGGAAACCUUUAGGCAGGAGGACUUUGUCAGCUUUCACAAGGUCCCUGAUGUCAUAUCCCCCAGCAACCUGUCUCCACACGGGGACGGACCAGCCCAGCUUUGACCAUGAUUACAAUAUUACCCUCAAGAUAAAAGUUGCAAUAAACCACAACAAACAUUUAAUGUAUUAAGUGCCUCUUUUUCUGUUUUAAAUGCGGAAGCAUCUCAAACUCGAUCGAUGUCCCGGUCAUGGAGCGGUGAUGGUUUUAAGAUACAAUAUAAAUGGGAAAGGGUGAGAUGUAAAUUAAGACAAUGUGACUGGUGCUGCAAUAAGAACGAGGUGGUGGUGAGGCGCUCUGGAUUAAUGCAUGAAAUAACAGAUUUAUCUCUGUGUGAAGUGGAUGACGGGACAUUUGCAUUUAAUAAUAGUAAAGAAUGGGGGUUGUGGGGGGGGGGGGGUAGAAUGGUGGAGAUGGAUGUAUAUGGGUCUGCCAGACACUCAAUAGUUUCAGCAGCAUUGCUGUUAUUAAAGCAGUUGGUGUGAAUUAAAAAGGUGACAUGCCUGGUGUCUGGGAUUUUUUUUUUACCAAACUGCCGCAGUAAUACCCAUGCGUUUCACAUUUCAGACUGAGCCAGUCCCAUGUGAGUGCAUUAAAUUAUUCCCAACGUAGGGUUAUUAUCAUUGUUUAAUAAUGUCACAAUAUUUAACAAAAACUUUCUUUUUUUCUGUAGGAUGUGGUGUAUUUUUUAGGAUUUCUGUGUGAUUCUUCACCUCCCUCAACAACCGCAAAAUAAAUAGCAAAUCAUACAAUUGGCAGCUUAUCCUUUGUUGGAAGGGAAACACUCUUUCACUUCACUGAAAGCCAAUGCACAUUCUGAUUGGCCCUUUCGGCUUUAGAUGAGAUAUAUCUCUGCUGCCAGCCACCUUGAUUAGCCAAAUAUGAUUUCAAGCCUAUAAGAGAAUGGAAUGACGGCUAAAUCUCUGCAAACACAGCUGAGAAACACAAUUUUGAAGGUGCAUAUUUUCAUAUAAUAAGGAACCACAAAUACAGCAGGGUGGGGGGGGGGUCAGAGCCAGAGAUCUGGAGAAAUCAAGGCCAGAGGCUGACAAAACACAAGCGGGCCUUCUGCUGAAGAAUAAAAACAAGCCAACACAGAAGUAAAAAAAAAGAAUUACUACUACAGUGAUGGAAAGUAGCCUUGAUUUAGAAAACUCGAUGUAAUCCAAAACCAGACCAAAUCAAAACCAAGGCACAAAAAGAAAAAAAUCAAACAAAUCAGCAGGUUGUGGCCUCUUCUAAAAACCAUAAGACAGUUGAGCAUGAUGCUACGUGACACAACACUGUGAGGCGUAUGGGCAGUUAUCAAUGCAGAAGCAACCAGUGGAUUUCUGUCAAACAAAGAGAAAGGUGGACACAGUGUUGACUUUUAAAAGAAAAAAGGUCCCGGCCUAUAUAUCUAUAUUAAAAGCUAAAAAUGGAUCUAGUGUGCUGAAGAAAUAUAUUAUUUCUUAGACUCCUCAUGGCAACAAAUUCAAGAAUAUAAUAUAAGAAUUUACAAAGACUAGUGAAAACCAAUUCAACACCCACGUUCUAUUGCAACGAAAGCAAUCACUAUCAGCCAAUCUUUUUUUCGUUCUAAAUUUAGGUGGUGCGGCUUGUAUUCAAGUGCGCUCUAUAGUCAGGAAAUGAUGGUAAAAGUGCUCUGGGGUGUGAGAGAGGGAAGAUGCAUUUCAUCUACAUAUGACCCGCACUGGCCUAGCUGCAGGGCACACCAACAACCACCAGGAGGAACUCUGUUGUCCUACUGCAGCCAUGACUAAAUUACUCUUAUAAUACAUAUUAAUAAUACAAUGUAUUUCACACAACCACGACCACCACAACUAAUAUAACUGCCAAAACUCCUUCUACCUCAUCAUCAAGCACCACCUUCUCUAAAUAACCCCAAAGUCACUGUCUACCACAGCUACGCCUCCACAUGACUCUAUAGUCAAAGCAGCACGCCUGAAGCCUUCGCAGGAGAAGAGAGGGCUGGAGUAGCUCACAUCCAACACUGCAAAACAAAUGUGGAAUUGAAAAAAUACUGCAAUUGCCAUUCUUAUUCCGGACUGAACACACUGCCACUAACACUACAACUAACACCAUCGCAACACAUACAGCAACUACACCGACCACAACAUCCGCCGCUACCCUCUGAAUGACUGCUGUCAUGAUGA
ensembl:lncRNA